rnacentral:rRNA from 1 species
CCUACGGGAGGCAGCAGUGAGGAAUAUUGGUCAAUGGGCGAGAGCCUGAACCAGCCAAGUCGCGUGAGGGAGUACUGCCCUAUGGGUUGUAAACCUCUUUUGUCGGGGAGCAAAAGCAGGACGUGUCCGGCUGUGAGAGUACCCGAAGAAAAAGCAUCGGCUAACUCCGUGCCAGCAGCCGCGGUAAUACGGAGGAUGCGAGCGUUAUCCGGAUUUAUGGGGUUUAAAGGGGGCGCAGGCGGAUUUUGAAGUCAGCGGUCAAAUCGUGGGUCUCAACCCCAUCCAGCCGUUGAAACUGGGGAUCUAGAGUGUGCGAGAGGUAUGCGGAAUGCGGUGUAGCGGUGAAAUGCAUAGAUAUCACGCAGAACCCCGAUUGCGAAGGCAGCAUACCGGUGCACAACUGACGCUCAGGCACGAAAGCGUGGGUAUCGAACAGGAUUAGAUACCCCGGUAGUC